AUUGAACGCUGGCGGCAGGCUUAACACAUGCAAGUCGAGCGGGGGAAGGUAGCUUGCUACCGGACCUAGCGGCGGACGGGUGAGUAAUGCUUAGGAAUCUGCCUAUUAGUGGGGGACAACAUCUCGAAAGGGAUGCUAAUACCGCAUACGUCCUACGGGAGAAAGCAGGGGAUCUUCGGACCUUGCGCUAAUAGAUGAGCCUAAGUCGGAUUAGCUAGUUGGUGGGGUAAAGGCCUACCAAGGCGACGAUCUGUAGCGGGUCUGAGAGGAUGAUCCGCCAAACGGGGAAUGAGACACGGCCCAGACUCAUGCGGGAGGCAGCAGUGGGGAAUAUUGGACAAUGGGGGGAACCCUGAUCCAGCCAUGCCGCGUGUGUGAAGAAGGCCUUAUGGUUGUAAAGCACUUUAAGCGAGGAGGAGGCUACUCUAGUUAAUACCUAGGGAUAGUGGACGUUACUCGCAGAAUAAGCACCGGCUAACUCUGUGCCAGCCGCCGCCGUAA
rnacentral:rRNA from 1 species